GUGAAAAUAGAAAGUUCUAAUUAAUAUCUAACAGCAGACACCAUAAUAAUUGAUUUCUGACCAAAACUCGAGCGACAGGAAUUAUUUCAAAAUUGCAGAGCCCACCCCCCUCGAAGGAGGGAGGAGCCUGAAUGGCUCCCGGUCUUAAAAACUUCAUUUUGGCGCUAAAAUUCAUCAUACCAAAAUAAAAAUUCACGCUUCUUUCACCAAAUGCCAUUUUCUUAUGAAUUUGAGCUGUUUGCUCCACUAUGAUCAAUACUAGGUGGUUGACUUUUAGCCCAUUUUAUAGCAAGUUUGAAAAAAAAUAACUUUUCAAAAUUUUUCACUCCCCCAAAAAAUUUUUGGGAAGCAGAUAAAUUAUCGAUUUUUAACUGAAUAUUAAUUUAAAAAAUGAAAAAUUGAAUUUGAAUCUUUCAUAACAUUCCUUUAGGAUAAUUUUCUUAACUAAUCUUGAUGAAUUAAUGUAUAAAACUCUUAUCAACAUAAAUUAUUAGAACUCAGAUUGUGGGUUCAAAUAAUUUUUAGUUGAAACAGUUGCAUCACCGCGUAUUUAACAUUUUGUUCGCAUUUUUAAUUUGAGUACUUACCUAUUAUAUUCGAAAUGUUGAAAUCCGUAAUUAGCAGUACUAACAUAUUAUUAAUACCAAUUAUUUUUGGUUACCCCCCUGUUUAUUACAAGGAACCAGAUCGACGUUUACGCUGAACUAAAUAACUUAUUUUGAAGCGGGUGCUAUAAUAGGUGUUCUUCAUCGACGUUUUGGCAGAUGCCACGGCAAUCAGUGGCGCUGCAAUUGCUCGAGAUACGUUGGAGGAAUUUCGAAACUAUUAUGGAUAUUUAUCGGUGAAUGAUCAGACGUCAAAAUCCAUUGAGGAUGCGUAUUUUGCAUUUUUUAGGGAUAGCGAUUUCGAGUUAACAAGAUCAAUACGAACAGAACUCAGAAAAUUCGGGUUCACGGUACUUACCCUCUUUUGUUAGGACUUGUAUGGAUUUGUAUCGGUUAACGAGCUCCAUAAUUCAUUUAUCUUAUGAAGAAUUUCGAAUAAAGCACUCCUUCAAUGACUUUUUAAAUUAUCUUAGAGAAAUACCAUCAUUAAAUGACGAACAAAAACGAACUAUAGAAAUAUUGUCUAAGAUUGUAUAAUACUGAAUAAGGAUUGUGUACCUAUAUUUUUCAACUAAAUUCUAUGCAUUAUUCUUCAUAAUAUAGGUUUUACAAAAAAUGAUUGCUCAUGUAAGAGCAGUUUUAGACAGAGAUAUUUUGUACUUCACACCAACAUUGCAAUAAAAAUUUGUUAUCAGAGAUUUCU